CCCUUCCUCCCUGAACACACCCGAUCUCGUCUGAUCUUGGAAGCUAAGCAGGUUUGGGCCUGGUUACUACUUGGAUGGAAGACUAAUUUUUAAACAUCCUACCAAUAUAUAUGCAUCCAGGGGGGC
rnacentral:rRNA from 1 species